CCCAGCUGUAACCAAGUGGAGUCGUUAAAGGUUUAGGAUGGGAUACUGUGUCACUACAUCCCGGAAGUAACAUUGCACGAUGGCUGCCCAUUACAAGGCUGCAGUCUCUAGAGUUGCCUUGGUGGAGACCGAGGUGACUUGUGAGAUAGUGAAACCCGUACCGCCGGAGGCUGGAAACAGAGCACGGAAAAGGGUUCGCUGUAGUACGGUGUAAGGAUAACAGUAGUUGUGUAACUUCCUGGCAUCUCAGUGAUUCGCGAGAUUC
rnacentral:SRP_RNA from 16 species